rnacentral:rRNA from 1 species
GAUGAACGCUGGCGGCGUGCUUAACACAUGCAAGUCGAACGGAAAGGCCCUGCUUUUGUGGGGUGCUCGAGUGGCGAACGGGUGAGUAACACGUGAGUAACCUGCCCUUGACUUUGGGAUAACUUCAGGAAACUGGGGCUAAUACAGGAUAGGAGCUCCUGCUGCAUGGUGGGGGUUGGAAAGUUUCGGCGGUUGGGGAUGGACUCGCGGCUUAUCAGCUUGUUGGUGGGGUAGUGGCUUACCAAGGCUUUGACGGGUAGCCGGCCUGAGAGGGUGACCGGCCACAUUGGGACUGAGAGACGGCCCAGACUCCUACGGGAGGCAGCAGUGGGGAAUAUUGCACAAUGGGCGGAAGCCUGAUGCAGCAACGCCGCGUGCGGGAUGACGGCCUUCGGGUUGUAAACCGCUUUCGCCUGUGACGAAGCGUGAGUGACGGUAAUGGGUAAAGAAGCACCGGCUAACUACGUG